rnacentral:rRNA from 1 species
AUUGAACGCUGGCGGCAUGCCUUACACAUGCAAGUCGAACGGUAACAGGUCCUCGGAUGCUGACGAGUGGCGAACGGGUGAGUAAUGCAUCGGAACGUGCCCAGUAGUGGGGGAUAGCCCGGCGAAAGCCGGAUUAAUACCGCAUACGACCUGAGGGUGAAAGGGGGGGAUCGCAAGACCUCUCGCUAUUGGAGCGGCCGAUGUCAGAUUAGCUAGUUGGUGGGGUAAAGGCCUACCAAGGCAACGAUCUGUAGUUGGUCUGAGAGGACGACCAGCCACACUGGGACUGAGACACGGCCCAGACUCCUACGGGAGGCAGCAGUGGGGAAUUUUGGACAAUGGGCGCAAGCCUGAUCCAGCAAUGCCGCGUGCAGGAAGAAGGCCUUCGGGUUGUAAACUGCUUUUGUCAGGGAAGAAAUCUUCUGGGUUAAUACCUCGGGAGGAUGACGGUACCUGAAGAAUAAGCACCGGCUAACUACGUGCCAGCAGCCGCGGUAACAC